rnacentral:rRNA from 1 species
GACGAACGCUGGCGGCGCGCCUAACACAUGCAAGUCGAACGAGUGAGAGAGAGCUUGCUUUCUCGAGCGAGUGGCGAACGGGUGAGUAACGCGUGAGGAACCUGCCUCAAAGAGGGGGACAACAGUUGGAAACGACUGCUAAUACCGCAUAAGCCCACAGGUCGGCAUCGACCAGAGGGAAAAGGAGCAAUCCGCUUUGAGAUGGCCCCGCGUCCGAUUAGCUAGUUGGUGAGGUAAUGGCCCACCAAGGCGACGAUCGGUAGCCGGACUGAGAGGUUGAACGGCCACAUUGGGACUGAGACACGGCCCAGACUCCUACGGGAGGCAGCAGUGGGGAAUAUUGCACAAUGGGGGAAACCCUGAUGCAGCGACGCCGCGUGGAGGAAGAAGGUCUUCGGAUUGUAAACUCCUGUUGUUGAGGAAGAUAAUGACGGUACU